GACGAACGCUGGCGGCGUGCUUAACACAUGCAAGUCGAACGGACCCUUUGGGGUUAGUGGCGAACGGGUGAGUAACACGUGGGUGAUCUGCCCUGCACUUUGGGAUAAGCCUGGGAAACUGGGUCUAAUACCGGAUAGGACUACGCACUGCAUGGUGUGUGGUGGAAAGCUUUUGCGGUGUGGGAUGGGCCCGCGGCCUAUCAGCUUGUUGGUGGGGUGAUGGCCUACCAAGGCGACGACGGGUAGCCGGCCUGAGAGGGUGACCGGCCACACUGGGACUGAGAUACGGCCCAGACUCCUACGGGAGGCAGCAGUGGGGAAUAUUGCACAAUGGGCGCAAGCCUGAUGCAGCGACGCCGCGUGAGGGAUGACGGCCUUCGGGUUGUAAACCUCUUUCGCCAGGGACGAAGCGCAAGUGACGGUACCUGGAGAAGAAGGACCGGCCAACUACGUGUCAGCAGCCGCGGUAAUACGUAGGGUCCGAGCGUUGUCCGGAAUUACUGGGCGUAAAGAGCUCGUAGGUGGUUUGUCGCGUUGUUCGUGAAAACUCACAGCUUAACUGUGGGCGUGCGGGCGAUACGGGCAGACUGGAGUACUGCAGGGGAGACUGGAAUUCCUGGUGUAGCGGUGGAAUGCGCAGAUAUCAGGAGGAACACCGGUGGCGAAGGCGGGUCUCUGGGCAGUAACUGACGCUGAGGAGCGAAAGCGUGGGGAGCGAACAGGAUUAGAUACCCUGGUAGUCCACGCCGUAAACGGUGGGUACUAGGUGUGGGUUUCCUUCCUUGGGAUCCGUGCCGUAGCUAACGCAUUAAGUACCCCGCCUGGGGAGUACGGCCGCAAGGCUAAAACUCAAAGGAAUUGACGGGGGCCCGCACAAGCGGCGGAGCAUGUGGAUUAAUUCGAUGCAACGCGAAGAACCUUACCUGGGUUUGACAUGCACAGGACGCCGGCAGAGAUGUCGGUUCCCUUGUGGCCUGUGUGCAGGUGGUGCAUGGCUGUCGUCAGCUCGUGUCGUGAGAUGUUGGGUUAAGUCCCGCAACGAGCGCAACCCUUGUCUCAUGUUGCCAGCACGUUAUGGUGGGGACUCGUGAGAGACUGCCGGGGUCAACUCGGAGGAAGGUGGGGAUGACGUCAAGUCAUCAUGCCCCUUAUGUCCAGGGCUUCACACAUGCUACAAUGGCCGGUACAAAGGGCUGCGAUGCCGUGAGGUGGAGCGAAUCCUUUCAAAGCCGGUCUCAGUUCGGAUCGGGGUCUGCAACUCGACCCCGUGAAGUCGGAGUCGCUAGUAAUCGCAGAUCAGCAACGCUGCGGUGAAUACGUUCCCGGGCCU
rnacentral:rRNA from 1 species